UGCCCUGUCAGGAUAGCGUCCGAAGACUACGCAGGCGCAGUCGCCGCGGCGGUUGGUUGGAAUUGCCACGCGUUUGGGAGCGCGCGUCCUCCGUGGUUUCUUCUGAGGGCUUGGCCGUUAGGGUGGUCCUUCACUCUUCCAACGGCUGGCCGCGGGGCUUCCGGGCUUGUGGUCGAGGCGGGCGUCCUCAGAGGGGCGUGCGCGCAACUUCUUUCAGUAGCCCAUGGGUGGAGACCAGACGCAGCAGGUGCUAGCUGCACAGGGCCUGAGGCCAUAUUUGGGUUUUCAAGAUGGAAGCUGGAAUCCUGCAUGAUUGCUUUGAGGUUGUCAACUUGACUAUUUCUGGAAUGAACUACAAUCCAGACUUGGAAGGUCCACCUGUCGUCCAGAACUUGAGGCUGGGAGUUUCUGACCUGGAUCUUGGCAUGGAGAACUUAAGGCAUAGUGGCUAUGAAUCCCAGGAGACUGAGGCAAGGAGAGCUCUGAGUUAAGGUCAACCUGGGACAAAACAGGUCCCAGAUCCAGCAUGGUGGUACACAUCUUUAAUCUGGGCCACACCUCCUGUUGGAGGGCUACAUAAGGGCACUAGAAGAAGAUUUGCAUUUCUUUACCUGCUUGAGCUUACUUGCCAGCACAUCUGUUGGAAUCUACCAGCCUCGUGGGACUGAGCAACUCUUAGAUCCUUGGACUUCCAUUCACAGGUGACUGUUGUUGGGAGUUGAACUACAGACUGUAAGUCAUCAUAACAAAUCCCCUGACUGUACAGUAUAUCGUAGACUACCCAUAAGUCCUGUGACUCUAGAGAACCCUGACUAAUACAGCCUGCCUACACCAUGCUCGGAGUAAACUUUCUGCAGACA
rnacentral:sRNA from 1 species